rnacentral:rRNA from 1 species
AUGGAGCAAGCGAACCCGCCGGCGGGGUCGGCGAGGAACAGGAAGGUGGUGCUGCGGGAGUACAUCAGCCGCGCGCCGAGGGAGGACGACAUGGCGCUCGUCGACGGCGGCGCCAUGCCGCUGCGCGUCCCCGAGGGCGCCGCCGGCCCGGCCGUGCUGGUGAAGAACCUCUACCUCUCCUGCGACCCCUACAUGCGCGGCCGGAUGCGGGACUUCCACGGCUCCUACAUCCCCCCGUUCAAGCCCGGAUCUGUUAUAGAAGGGCUGGGCGUGGCGAGAGUGAUGGACUCCACUCAUCCAGGGUUCGUCGCCGGUGACAUUGUCUCGGGAAUGACUGGCUGGGAGGAAUACAGCCUGAUUGACAAGCCCGAACAGCUGAAUAAGAUUCAGCAAAGCGACAUACCACUGUCCUAUCACUUGGGUCUUCUCGGCAUGCCUGGUUUUACAGCUUAUGUUGGAUUCUAUGAGAUCUGCUCACCGAAGAAAGGAGAGUUUGUCUUUGUUUCUGCUGCAUCGGGAGCAGUUGGUCAGAUUGUUGGUCAACUUGCAAAGCUCCAUGGCUGCUAUGUCGUCGGAAGUGCUGGAACAAAUGAGAAAGUUGAACUCCUAAAAGAUAAGUUUGGAUUCGAUGCAGCUUUUAAUUACAAAGAGGAGCCUGACUUGACUGUAGCACUAAAAAGGUACUUUCCUGAAGGUAUCGACAUCUACUUCGAGAAUGUAGGAGGACCAAUGCUAGAUGCUGUACUCCUUAACAUGCGGAUGCAUGGUCGCAUAGCAGUAUGUGGCAUGGUAUCCCAGCACGGCAUGACUGACCCUGCAGGGAUCCACAACCUCUUCUGCCUGGUGCCGAAACGGAUCAGUAUGAAGGGCUUCAUCCAGAGUGAUUACAUCAACUUAUUCCCACAGUUCGUCGAUUACAUGACCAAGCAUUACAAGGAUGGCAAGAUUGCAUAUGUAGAAGACAUGAGCAUUGGGCUAGAGAACGCGCCAGCUGCCUUUGUUGGUCUAUUCAGUGGUAAAAAUGUGGGCAAACAAGUCGUGUGUGUGUCACAAGAGUGA